rnacentral:rRNA from 1 species
UGGGAACGCGAAGAACCUUACCUAGACUUGACAUCCCCUGAAUUACCUGUAAUGAGGGAAGUCCCUUCGGGGACAGGGAGACAGGUGGUGCAUGGUUGUCGUCAGCUCGUGUCGUGAGAUGUUGGGUUAAGUCCCGCAACGAGCGCAACCCUUAUCAUUAGUUGCUACCAUUAAGUUGAGCACCCUAAUGAGACUGCCCGGGUUAACCGGGAGGAAGGUGGGGAUGACGUCAAAUCAUCAUGCCCCUUAUGUCUAGGGCCACACACGUGCUACAAUGGUGAGUACAACGAGAUGCUAAACCGUGAGGCGGAGCUAAACUUUAAAACCAGUCUCAGUUCGGAUUGUAGGCUGAAACUCGCCUACAUGAAGCUGGAGUUGCUAGUAAUCGCGAAUCAGAAUGUCGCGGUGAAUACGUUCCCGGG